GCUCCAGGCAUUUAACCCUGGCUGUGCACUUGCAGCGCACCAAGGGGGUAUCUGCCAACUGGAAGCCACCGACAGCGCUGAAGACGACACGUGACAGCACGCUACAACACGGCAAACCCAAGACUAACAAGAGUAUCCCAGAGAACCCUAAUCAUUUUGAACAAAUACAGAGAAAUAAGUUACUGUCCGAGGAUCUAAGGAAAUUUUGGAGGCCAGCUUCGGAAGGAGGAGUGGGACCAAGAAGAAGAAUGACAAAGUCAUGAACAAAGAUCAACUGACUUCUUCCUGAGGCUUUGCUACAGCAGGAUUCCCAGAAACCAAGUCAGGCCACAGAGGUCCUGCCUGAUGCCAUCAGAGCUGGCCAAUGUGGGAGCCACAACUCCCAGCAUUUGGGAAAGGAUCAUCUUUCAAAUCUCCCAAGGAUUUGGAAUAAUGCUCCAUCAGCUCAUGCACGCAGCUUCACCACUACUGCCAUGAACAUGAACUAUCACAGCCUGCAGGCAAAAUCAGUGCAAAGAAGGAAGAACAGCAUGGAUCUGCUGCAGUAAGUUUUGAAAGACGCUCGGAAGAUGGUACAGAACCCUCAAAUAAUGGAAGAACAUGCAAUCCUCUGCGGAAGGCAACUGACUACAACAGA